GGAAUUUAUGAUGGUGAUUGCUCUGAUGAUCCAAAUAACAUUGAUCAUGCCGUUCUAAUAGUAGGAUAUGGUUCUGAAAGCGGUGAAGAUUACUGGAUUGUAAAGAAUUCAUGGGGAACUAGUUGGGGGAUGGAAGGAUACUUUUACCUCAGAAGGAAUACCGAUUUGCCAUAUGGGGUUUGUGCAGUCAAUGCCAUGGCUUCAUAUCCUACCAAAGAGUCAUCUGCACCCACUCCUUAUCCAUCUCCAACUCCUCCACCACCUCCUACACCUGUCUCUCCACCACCCCCACCAGUGACACCGCCACCACCAACUCCAGUGACACCACCACCACCCUCUCCUUCUCCAAGCCAAUGCGGAGACUUCUCCUAUUGUCCAGCUGAUGAGACAUGUUGUUGCCUCUAUGAAUUCUUUGACUACUGCUUCAU
rnacentral:lncRNA from 1 species